CAGAGUGGGAGUGGAUGCAGAUGAAAAUCCAGAGGAGCUUUCUUUAGAGGUUGCAACAGGGAGCUCAGAUACAACUCCGGACCUUUGGAGCCGUCUGGACUACAAAUAUAUAAAACCUGCGUUGACCCAUUGUGGUCCGCCGCUGACCGACUCUCUGCCACAAUGGUGUGGGAUAUUUGCCAGACUCUUCAGCAGCCCCUAUGUCCACAAGGAUGAGGAGCAGCUGUGUGAGACUGCACCUGCACAAGACGACAUUAUCUGCGAUUUG